GCAUAACGCGAAGAACCUUACCAAGGCUUGACAUGCAUCUCUAAGCGCGUGAAAGCGCGUGACUCUUCGGAGGAUUUGCACAGGUGCUGCAUGGCCGUCGUCAGCUCGUGUCGUGAGAUGUUGGGUUAAGUCCCGCAACGAGCGCAACCCCUGUGAUUAGUUGCCAGCACGUGAUGGUGGGGACUCUAAUCAGACUGCCCAGAUCAACUGGGAGGAAGGUGGGGACGACGUCAGGUCAGUAUGGCCCUUACGCCUUGGGCUGCACACGUACUACAAUGCCCAGCACAAUGAGAACCGAGACCGCGAGGUGGAGGAAAUCUACAAAACUGGGCCCAGUUCGGAUUGGAGGCUGCAACUCGCCUCCAUGAAGCCGGAAUCGCUAGUAAUGCUGCAUCAGCUACGGCAGCGUGAAUACGUUCCCGGGUCUUGUACACACCG
rnacentral:rRNA from 1 species